GUGUGUGGCUCAGUGGUAGAGCACUUUCCUAGCAUGUGGGAGGCCCUGGUUUGAUUCCCAGCAAAACACA
rnacentral:tRNA from 1 species